GAUGAACGCUGGCGGCGUGCCUAAUACAUGCAAGUCGAGCGAACAGUUGAGGAGCUUGCUCCUCUGACGCUUGCGGCGGACGGGUGAUUAAAACGUGGAUAACCUACCUAUAAGACUGGGAUAACUUCGGGAAACCGGAGCUCAUACCCGAUAAUAUCUUGUACCGCCCUGUCUAAUAGUGACACCCGGGUUUGGUGACAAGUAUAGAUGGAUCCGCACCGCAUUCGGUAGUUGGUAAGGGAUCGGCUUACCAAGGCAACGAUGCGUAGCCGACCCGAGAGGGUGAUCCGCCACCCUGGAACUGAGACACGCUCCCGACUCCUACGGGAGGCCGCAGUAGAGUAUCUUCCGCAAUGGGCGAAAGCCUGACGGAGCAACGCCGCGUGAGUGAUGAAGGGCUUCGGAUCGUAAACCUCUGUUGUUAGGGACGAACAAAUGUGUAAGUAACAAUGCACGUCUUGACGGUACCUAACCAGAAAGCCACGGCUAACUACGUG
rnacentral:rRNA from 1 species